rnacentral:rRNA from 2 species
UGGAUUAGUGGCGGACGGGUGAGUAACGCGUGAGCAAUCUGCCUUACACAAAGGGAUAGCCUCGGGAAACCGGGAUUAAUACCAUAUGAUAUCUAUUAACCGCAUGGUUUAUAGAUUAAAGAAUUUCGGUGUAAGAUGAGCUCGCGUCCCAUUAAUUAGUUGGUGAGGGUAACGGCCCACCAAGGAUAGCGAUGGGUAGCCGAUCUAAGAGGAUGACCGGCCACAUUGGAACUGAGAAACGGUCCAAACUCCUACGGGAGGCAGCAGUGGGGAAUAUUGCACAAUGGGGGAAACCCUGAUGCAGCGACGCCGCGUGAGCGAUGAAGGCUUUCGAGUCGUAAAGCUCUGUCCUAUGGGAAGAUAAUGACGGUACCAUAGAAGAAAGCCCCGGCUAAUUACGUGCCAGCCGCCGCGGUAA